rnacentral:tRNA from 1 species
UCCCAGGUGGCUCAGACAGUAAAGAAUCUGCCUGCAAUGCAAGAAACCUGGGUUCGAUCCCUGGGUUGGAAG